CCACCCUGAACGCGCCCGGUCUUGGCUGAUCUCGGACGCUAAGCACGGUCAGGCCUGGUUAGUACUUGGUGACCCCAGCAACCCCAGCC
rnacentral:rRNA from 1 species